GACGAACGCUGGCGGCGUGCUUAACACACGCAAGUCGAACGGAAAGGCCCUGCUUUUGUGGGGUGCUCGAGUGGCGAACGGGUGAGUAACACGUGAGUAACCUGCCCUUGACUUUGGGAUAACUUCAGGAAACUGGGGCUAAUACCGGAUAGGAGCUCCUGCUGCAUGGUGGGGGUUGGAAAGUUUCGGCGGUUGGGGAUGGACUCGCGGCUUAUCAGCUUGUUGGUGGGGUAGUGGCUUACCAAGGCUUUGACGGGUAGCCGGCCUGAGAGGGUGACCGGCCACAUUGGGACUGAGAUACGGCCCAGACUCCUACGGGAGGCAGCAGUGGGGAAUAUUGCACAAUGGGCGGAAGCCUGAUGCAGCAACGCCGCGUGCGGGAUGACGGCCUUCGGGUUGUAAACCGCUUUCGCUUGUGACGAAGCGUGAGUGACGGUAAUGGGUAAAGAAGCACCGGCUAACUACGUG
rnacentral:rRNA from 1 species